AUAUUAGUCAGUCAGUCAGUCAGUCAGUCACUGUAGCCUGUCUGUUCUUAACAUAAGAGGAAUGUACGUCCAGCAUUGUGUGUGUGUUCUGUUCUGGCUGUGUGUGUGUGCUGUGGUGACUCUUCUCAGCGGUGUACUCAGCAGCGAUGGGACGGUUCUGGCGGUUCCAUCAGGAGAGAACAGAGCAGAAAGGGACCCCCCCUCCCCUCCAGAGGUACGUUGCUGGUCUCCCAGUUACCCCUUCAAAGCCCUCUGCUCAUGGCCUGAGCCUCCACAGACCCAGCUUCCCAUACAGUACAUCGCCACCUACAGUAUGAAAGGCGGAGAGAUCCAGCAGUGCCAUCCCUACCCUACCUCUGUGCAUCCUCUCCCCAGCCCAGAGUCCUCUCUCCCUAGGGUGAAUGGCUCCUCUCCAGGGGCAAGGUGGCUCUGUGUCCUAAAUGGUUUAAAGCUCUACACGUCUUACAAGCUCAACAUCACAGGAGUCAACCAUAUGGGCAGCGCCUCCCACCUACAGGCCUUCACUGUAGAGGACAUUGUGAAGCCGGACCCCCCUGUGAAUGUGACUGUGCAAGUCAUUCCCGGGAAGCUGAGGCUGUUAGUGAAGUGGGCCCCUCCCCCUUCCUGGUCUGACCGCACCCUCUUCCCCCUGAAGUACCAAGUCAGAUACCACUGGGACAACAAGGGUACCCCACAUGAGAUCACUUUGGAUCCGUUUGAGGACACCAAGAAAGUUCUACCAGGGCUGUCUCCUGAGAGGUCUUAUCAGGUUCAGGUGUGUUCCAUGGAACUGAUGGGGCUGGGACAGAGCAGUGAUUGGAGCCUACCUAUUACUGUCACUACGCCUGCACACUGAACACACACACACAUACACACUGAGAUAACACAGGCAUACAUGCGCAUGUGUACACACACACACACACACACACACACAGAGAUCCCACACAUAGAUCAACACAGAUCACACCCAUAGAUCAACCGCAUUUGUAAACCACAACUUGACUUAACAAUGAUAAUAAAAACACUUGAUUUGUAAA